AUUUCUGUAAGUGCUGUGGUAUCAUCCCUAUGAGGAAAGAAACCCCUCUUUUCUAUCUCGUCUCAAAGAAGGAGGAAGUAAAAGUUGAGACAUAGCAGGCAUGAGGUCAGUGACCUGGAGGUUAAAGAUUACACCCCUACCCACAACCCUUAAUAUCUCAGGGGAUCUUAAGGGUGGGGAGAUAUGGAGAAAUGCCCUCUAUUGUUCCCAUUCGAUCUUGCCCAAACUCCCAUGCUUAAUUCAUGGAUCAUGACCCCCUCACAUGUACUUUCUAAAACUGUAAACCUAAGACCCUUUCACAUGUAAUAUCUAGUUGUAAGCCUAUAUAAAGGCAGAGAUUUCCUUUGUUAGGGGAGCUUGGCUUUUAGGCAACUAUGCCACCUUGUUCCCAGCAGAAUAAAUCAUCCCUUCCUUCCCAGUUUGGUAUUGGAGAGGUCUGUUUCUGGUGGCCACUCUCGCUUCACUUAAACACACAGGAAACAACUUAGGGCAAGAUCACUUGUGAGGAAUGGCAGAAGAGGCUUUAUCAGAAUAUGCCACUUUGGCAAAAGAAUUAUUUUGAGGUAAAGACACUUGAAACAGGGAGGGCGUGCUGAUCUUCCCUUUUCAUUAUCAAAGCAGGAGAUAAAACUUCCAAGUGAAAGAUGUCUUCCCUAAACCAGGAUAAAAGAAACAUUCUUAUUACCAGAGACAGAGCCAAAACCAAGGGAAUUCCAUACAAACAGAUCCUGUUAAAAUAAUUCUGAUUUUUCUUUAGUUGCCCCGUGUACUUUAGUUAUUUUCUCACAGUUGCCUCUC